rnacentral:rRNA from 1 species
CAAGGGAGGGAGCCGUCGAAGGUGGGGCUGGCGAUUGGGACGAAGUCGUAACAAGGUAGCCGUACCGGAAGGUGCGGCUGGAUCACCUCCUUU